UACGUAGGUGGCAAGCGUUGUCCGGAUUUACUGGGCGUAAAGAGCGCGCAGGCGGUCGUUCAAGUCGCGUGUGAAAGCCCCCCGGCUCAACUGGGGAGGGUCACGCGAUACUGAUCGACUCGAAGGCAGGAGAGGGUAGUGGAAUUCCCGGUGUAGUGGUGAAAUGCGUAGAUAUCAGGAGGAACACCGAUGGCGAAGGCAGGUCUCUGGGCAUUAACUGACGCUGAGGAGCGAAAAGCAUGGGGGAGCGAACAGGG
rnacentral:rRNA from 1 species